rnacentral:rRNA from 1 species
CGUUGCGCUCGGGGAGUACGGCGCAAGGCUAAAACUCAAAGGAAUUGUAGGGGGCCCCGCGACAAGCGGCGGAGCGUGCGGUUUAAUUUCGACCAAACGCGUCAGAACCUUACCAGGGCUUGGACAUGCGACUGCAGGCGCCGGAAACGGCGCGUCCUUCAGGGUGUCGCACAGGUGCUGCAUGGCUGUCGUCAGCUCGUGUCGUGAGAUGUUGGGUUAAGUCCCGCAACGAGCGNAACCCUCGCGGCCAGUUACGUGGAUGUCUGCCGGACUGCCGGUAGCAAGCCGGAGGAAGGCGGGGAUGACGUCAAGUCAGCUAUGGCCCUUACGUCCUGGGCUACACGCACGCUACAAUGGCGAGGACAAUGGGUAGCCAAACCGCAAGGUGGAGCGAAUCCUCACAAAACCUCGCCUCAGUUCAGAUUGUGGGCUGCAACUCGCCCCGCGAUGAAGGUGGAGUCGCUAGUAACCGCAGGUCUAGCAUUACUGCGGUGAAUACGUUCCCGGGCCUUGUACGUACACCGCCGUCGACGCGGCCG